AAUUGAACACGCUUAAAAAACAAGCAACACCAAACUGUGUACAAGUCGCAAAUCCGUGAUGAAAAGUUUCUGUUUUUUAACGUAAGGUCUGGAUUUAUAACUUUCGAUAAUUUCUGAAUCGCAAAAUUAAUAUCAUCAACAUUUGUUGAUCAAGUUAUGUGAAAAUACUAAGGUCGCAAUUUAAAGAUUUAGUCUACCUUUUGUGUUAAUUUUUUCUAGCGUGCAGGUUGUUGUGUUUAUUUUGCUAGUGAAAAAAAGUAAAAAAAAAUCUUCCAAACUGCCUAUUUUUUGUUCCCGUUUCAUCACCGUCAGACAAAAGCCGUUCCGGUAGUGUUGGACAGUGCCAACUAGAACAAACUAUCCGUCGGAAGAUACUCCGCUGAUCAUAAAGGUGCUAUGGACGAAAUUGAUCGUAGGAAGAGUAAAAGGCCAUCCGUGAGCGGAUACAGAAGCACCAAAGUCGCCGGAUGUCGUUCCACUCGUGAUAAACAAGUUCCGGUGUUAGUUCAGACGAAAGUGAUGACGACAACAAGGAAGGAGGGAUUCUCGAUUACAGGCGACGGGGACAAAACAAAUUUUCUGAACAUCGUUGAUAGCUGUUUGUUCAAAGAACUACAAAACUUUCACAAAUCUUGUAUAAUACAGAAAAUUCUGAAAUUUCUUCUACAAUUUAUUGAUUGCCUCUAGACCAAUUUAAAGACAAUGCUUCAAUUGUAAGAUAUAAAAAUAAACAUUUUUUUAAACAU